UUGAACGCUGGCGGCAGGCCUAACACAUGCAAGUCGAGCGGCAGCACGGGUACUUGUACCUGGUGGCGAGCGGCGGACGGGUGAGUAAUGCCUAGGAAUCUGCCUGGUAGUGGGGGAUAACGCUCGGAAACGGACGCUAAUACCGCAUACGUCCUACGGGAGAAGAAAGCAGGGGACCUUCGGGCCUUGCGCUAUCAGAUGAGCCUAGGUCGGAUUAGCUAGUUGGUGAGGUAAUGGCUCACCAAGGCGACGAUCCGUAACUGGUCUGAGAGGAUGAUCAGUCACACUGGAACUGAGACACGGUCCAGACUCCUACGGGAUGGCAGCAGUGGGGAAUAUUGGACAAUGGGCGAAAGCCUGAUCCAGCCAUGCCGCGUGUGUGAAGAAGGUCUUCGGAUUGUAAAGCACUUUAAGUUGGGAGGAAGGGUUGUAGAUUAAUACUCUGCAAUUUUGACGUUACCGACAGAAUAAGCACCGGCUAACUCUGUGCCAGCAGCCGCGGUAAUACAGAGGGUGCAAGCGUUAAUCGGAAUUACUGGGCGUAAAGCGCGCGUAGGUGGUUUGUUAAGUUGGAUGUGAAAGCCCCGGGCUCAACCUGGGAACUGCAUUCAAAACUGACAAGCUAGAGUACGGUAGAGGGUGGUGGAAUUUCCUGUGUAGCGGUGAAAUGCGUAGAUAUAGGAAGGAACACCAGUGGCGAAGGCGACCACCUGGACUGAUACUGACACUGAGGUGCGAAAGCGUGGGGAGCAAACAGGAUUAGAUACCCUGGUAGUCCACGCCGUAAACGAUGUCAACUAGCCGUUGGGAGCCUUGAGCUCUUAGUGGCGCAGCUAACGCAUUAAGUUGACCGCCUGGGGAGUACGGCCGCAAGGUUAAAACUCAAAUGAAUUGAACGGGGGCCCGCACAAGCGGUGGAGCAUGUGGUUUAAUUCGAAGCAACGCGAAGAACCUUACCAGGCCUUGACAUCCAAUGAACUUUCCAGAGAUGGAUUGGUGCCUUCGGGAACAUUGAGACAGGUGCUGCAUGGCUGUCGUCAGCUCGUGUCGUGAGAUGUUGGGUUAAGUCCCGUUAACGAGCGCAACCCUUGUCCUUAGUUACCAGCACGUUAUGGUGGGCACUCUAAGGAGACUGCCGGUGACAAACCGGAGGAAGGUGGGGAUGACGUCAAGCCAUCAUGGCCCUUACGGCCUGGGCUACACACGUGCUACAAUGGUCGGUACAGAGGGUUGCCAAGCCGCGAGGUGGAGCUAAUCCCAUAAAACCGAUCGUAGUCCGGAUCGCAGUCUGCAACCCGACUGCGUGAAGUCGGAAUCGCUAGUAAUCGCGAAUCAGAAUGUCGCGGUGAAUACGUUCCCGGGCCUUGUACACACCGCCCGUCACACCAUGGAGUGGGUUGCACCAGAAGUAGCUAGUCUAACCUUCGGGAGGACGGUUACCACGGUGUGAUUCAUGACUGGGGUG
rnacentral:rRNA from 1 species